rnacentral:rRNA from 1 species
AUACGGAGGACGCGAGCGUUAUCCGGAUUCAUUGGGUUUAAAGGGUGCGCAGGCGGCCGUGCAAGUCAGCGGUGAAAGCCCGGGGCUCAACCCCGGAAGUGCCGUUGAUACUGCGUGGCUGGAAUGCGGUCGAGGCGGGCGGAACGGGGCGUGUAGCGGUGAAAUGAGUAGAUAUGGCACAGAACGCCGAUAGCGGAGGCAGCUCGCCAGGCCUGCAUUGACGCUCGGGCACGAAAGCGUGGGGAUCGAACAGGAUUAGAUACCCUGGUAGUCCACGCCGUAAACGAUGGGCGCUCGUCGUCGGCGACAGACAGUCGGCGGCCAAGCGAAAGCGAUAAGCGCCCCACCUGGGGAGUACGGUCGCAAGGCUGAAACUCAAAUGAAUUGGCGGGG